GCUGGAUGUGGUGGUGCACAUCUGUAAUCCCAGCAACUUGGGAGGCUGAGGCAGGAGGAUGGCAAGGCAAGGCCAGCCUCAGCAACUUAGUGAGUCUCUAAGCAACUUAGCAAGACCCUGUCUCAA
rnacentral:sRNA from 1 species